UCUUAUUACACCGCAGCAACCGUGUACUGAGCGCCCCUCAGUAUGGAUUAAACACAGUUGGUGUCGCCUAUGUUAACGUCAAAUAUAAAAUAUUGGUCAUGGACCGGAGCGUUUGUAUUGUCGCUGCUGUUUUGGGCCGAAGUUAUCUGGAUUACUGUCUAACCUUAUCCUGGCCCGAUAAAGCGUCAUUUAUCGGGCUUUUUC
rnacentral:sRNA from 1 species